rnacentral:lncRNA from 1 species
AUCAUAUCUGACCUUUCCAGAGAAAGGAGGUGAAAACAUCCCUGCUUUAAAGAAUAGGCAAGAAAACCACAGAAUUUAGAGUCUUUACUAUUUGCCUGAAAGACAAACCGGAAGACCAAUCUCCUGACUGAAAUACACCUCUUCUCAGACAUCCUUCGCAUCAUUGCAAGCAUCCCUCUUUCACUGACAAAACGGCAUUUACUCUGAGAAACAGAAAUGGAGUCAGUCUUUGAAAAUGUUUUCUACCUUAUGAUACUAAGCCUAGUAUCUGGACCACAAAAGCAAAGUGCGCCAUGGCUUCCAAGAUAUUCAAGCCCUCUUUUGUUUUGCCAAAGACUGCACUCUUGCCAUCCAACCACACAGUUUUGGCAGUGCAGACGAAAAACUGGAAACCAUUUGUGUAGUGUCCAGUAUUUGCCACGGACAAGGUGCCAGGUCUUGUAUGCUUCAGGAUGGAGUUCUCAUCAUCAAACUUCUCCCAGUAGUUGGACUUGUGCCAGUGUCAUCAUGACAUGUGAAGUCACCACUCUGGCAUAUAAACCCUGGAAUAAUUCUGUGAAAACAGGAACACUUAUAGCCAAAUCCUUUCUCUCCAGUGCUCACAAAAUGAACAUUUUCUGUUGUCUUUGGAACUUUGCAAACAGCUGGAAGGAGACAUGGCCCAAGUGCUCACCAUUGACUACAAAGUCAAAGAACAAGGUGGAGGUGACCAUCACUGGCAGUGGUGACAUCAGUGGAAGUGGCAUCUGCAAAGUGCCAACAAAUAUUUUAAACAAACAAACCAAUAAAUUAAUAUUUCUUAAACCGAUAAAGAAUGAAAACUUUCCAGCCACUCAUCAGGCAUUUGUUCAUAACUGCUUGGUGUCAUUCAUGGUGAGAGAUUUUGCUGACACAAUGAUAGCUAUGAACAAUCCCUGCUUCCAGAAGCCUAUGGUGCAGCAGGAGAGGUUUGUACCCACAUUCAUGGCAUAG